GCGGUGACAGGUGGUGCAUGGUUGUCGUCAGCUCGUGUCGUGAGAUGUUGGGUUAAGUCCCGCAACGAGCGCAACCCUUGAUCUUAGUUGCCAGCAUUCAGUUGGGCACUCUAAGGUGACUGCCGGUGACAAACCGGAGGAAGGUGGGGAUGACGUCAAAUCAUCAUGCCCCUUAUGACCUGGGCUACACACGUGCUACAAUGGAUGGUACAAAGGGCUGCAAGACCGCGAGGUUUAGCCAAUCCCAUAAAACCAUUCUCAGUUCGGAUUGCAGGCUGCAACUCGCCUGCAUGAAGCUGGAAUCGCUAGUAAUCGCGGAUCAGCAUGCCGCGGUGAAUACGUUCCCGGGCCUUGUACACACCGCCCGUCACACCACGAGAGUUUGCAACACCCGAAG
rnacentral:rRNA from 1 species